rnacentral:tRNA from 1 species
GGGCUGGGGCUCAAAGAUAAAGCACUUGCCUAGCAUGCAUGAGGCCCUGGGUUCGAUCCUCAGUACCACA